rnacentral:sRNA from 1 species
AUUCGAACCUGCCGCAGGUUCGGGUCGAACGCAGUGAGACAACGGAGCCGCUUGCGGCGACGGCCCGAAGGGCGAGGCGAAGCCGAGUCAUCCUGCACGACCCACCA